rnacentral:rRNA from 1 species
GACGAACGCUGGCGGCGUGCCUAAUACAUGCAAGUGGAACGCACGAGGUACACCGUAGUUUACUACAUCGUACUUUGUGAGUCGCGAACGGGUGAGUAACGCGUAGGUGACCUACCUUUUAGCGGGGGAUAACUAUUGGAAACGAUAGCUAAUACCGCAUAGGAUAUCUUACUGCAUGGUAAGAUAUUAAAAGAUGCAAUUGCAUCACUAAGAGAUGGACCUGCGUUGUAUUAGCUAGUAGGUGAGGUAACGGCUCACCUAGGCAACGAUACAUAGCCGACCUGAGAGGGUGAUCGGCCACACUGGGACUGAGACACGGCCCAGACUCCUACGGGAGGCAGCAGUAGGGAAUCUUCGGCAAUGGGGGGAACCCUGACCGAGCAACGCCGCGUGAGUGAAGAAGGUUUUCGGAUCGUAAAGCUCUGUUGUAAGAGAAGAACGAGUGUGAGAGUGGAAA